AUUCCGGUUGAUCCUGCCGGAGGCCAUUGCUAUCGGAGUUCGACUUAGCCAUGCUAGUCGCGCGGGUUUGGACCCGCGGCAAAUAGCUCAGUAACACGUGGCCAAACUGCCCUACAGAUCGGAAUAACCUCGGGAAACUGAGGCUAAUGCCGAAUAGGACUUUCAGGUUGGAGUGCCGAGAGUUCGAAACGCUACGGCGCUGUAGGAUGUGGCUGCGGCCGAUUAGGUAGACGGUGGGGUAACGGCCCACCGUGCCGAUAAUCGGUACAGGUUGUGAGAGCAAGAGCCUGGAGACGGAAUCUGAGACAAGAUUCCGGGCCCUACGGGGCGCAGCAGGCGCGAAACCUUUACACUGCACGACAGUGCGAUAGGGGAACUCCGAGUGCGAGGGCAUAGAGCCCUCGCUUUUCCACACCGUAAGGUGGUGCGGGAACAAGUGCUGGGCAAGACCGGUGCCAGCCGCCGCGGUAAUACCGGCAGCACAAGUGAUGGCCGAUUUUAUUGGGCCUAAAGCGUCCGUAGCUGGCCGUGCAAGUCUGUCGGGAAAUCCAGUGGCUCAACCUCUGGGCUUCCGGCGGAAACUGCUCGGCUUGGGACCGGAAGACUCGAGGGGUACGUUCGGGGUAGGAGUGAAAUCCCGUAAUCCUGGACGGACCACCGGUGGCGAAAGCGCCUCGAGAAGAUGGACCCGACGGUGAGGGACGAAAGCUUGGGUCUCGAACCGGAUUAGAUACCCGGGUAGUCCAAGCUGUAAACGAUGCUCGCUAGGUGUGCCGCAGGCUACGAGCCUGCGCUGUGCCGUAGGGAAGCCGAGAAGCGAGCCGCCUGGGAAGUACGUCUGCAAGGAUGAAACUUAAAGGAAUUGGCGGGGGAGCACUACAACCGGAGGAGCCUGCGGUUUAAUUGGACUCAACGCCGGACAUCUCACCAGCACCGACAACGGUAAUGAUGGCCAGGUUGAUGACCUUACCCGACGCCGUUGAGAGGAGGUGUAUGGCCGCCGUCAGCUCGUACCGUGAGGCAUCCUGUUAAGUCAGGCAACGAGCGAGACCCGCAUCCUUAAUUGCCAGCAGCAUCCUUGUGAUGGCUGGGUACAUUAGGGAGACCGCCACGGCUAACGUGGAGGAAGGAACGGGCAACGGUAGGUCAGCAUGCCCCGAAUGUGCUGGGCAACACGCGGGCUACAAUGGCCGGGACAGUGGGAAACUAAUCCGAGAGGAUACGCUAAUCCCCUAAACCCGGUCGUAGUUCGGAUUGAGGGCUGAAACUCGCCCUCAUGAAGCUGGAUUCGGUAGUAAUCGCGUGUCAGAAGCGCGCGGUGAAUACGUCCCUGCUCCUUGCACACACCGCCCGUCAAAUCACCCGAGUGGGGUCCGGAUGAGGCCAUCAUGCGAUGGUCGAAUCUGGGCUCCGCAAGGGGGAUUAAGUCGUAACAAGGUAGCCGUAGGGGAAUCUGCGGCUGGAUCACCUCCU
rnacentral:rRNA from 1 species